rnacentral:rRNA from 1 species
UACGGAGGGUGCAAGCGUUAAUCGGAAUUACUGGGCGUAAAGCGCGCGUAGGUGGUUAUUUAAGUCAGAUGUGAAAGCCCAGGGCUCAACCUUGGAACUGCAUUUGAUACUGGGUAACUAGAGUACAGUAGAGGGGAGUGGAAUUUCAGGUGUAGCGGUGAAAUGCGUAGAGAUCUGAAGGAACAUCAGUGGCGAAGGCGACUCUCUGGACUGAUACUGACACUGAGGUGCGAAAGCGUGGGGAGCGAACAGG